rnacentral:sRNA from 1 species
AAAUAAGGCAAGUGCCCAAUUGUAACCAAUCUCAUUGUUUCUGUACCUGAUUUCUGGUUCCUGUACAUCACUUUACCUUUUUUUGUCUAUAAAUUCGUUUUGACCACGAGGCACCCCCGGAGCCUCGGUGAAUCUGCUGUGAUUCUGAAGGCUGCUGGAAUCACGAGUUGUUUGUUGCUUAAUGAAACUCCUUUAAGUUUAAUUCAGCUGAAGUUUUUCUUUUAUCAGAUGGUAUCACAAGAAGGAUCUGAAGUGGAGCUUCUAGUAUCCCCAGGAGCAUGAAGUGAACACGGAAGGUACCUGCAGGAUCCAGUUGUGUCCAUUGAUCUCUCAGAGUGGCUGAGGAUAAUAGAGUUUCUUCUUCAAGGUCUCAAGGUCUGAAGCAUCCCACAGAAUGAUCCUACUGAAUAACUCCCAUAAGCUGCUGGCCCUAUACAAAUCCUUGGCCAGGAGCAUCCCUGAGUCCCUGAAGGUGAGGGAACAGUGGGAGGUCAGGACAUGAGAGUAGGGUGUUGAGGAUGAGAAAAUAGCAGGCUUGUGAUUCUAGUCCUUCCUGACUUUUUCCAG